GGGUGUGGCGCAGUUGGUAGCGCGCCAGUAUGGGGUACUGGAGGCCGCAGGUUCGAGCCCUGUCACCCCGACCA
rnacentral:tRNA from 1 species